rnacentral:lncRNA from 1 species
AUAGAUCAAUCCGCACGUUCUGAACGGUGAGUUAAAUUAAACUUACUUUUGCAUAUACAUAUUUUCAGUAGUGGCUGCUCGUUGUUGGUUGAUCUCAAUACAGGGCUGAGGUUGACAUUUUUCACGGUAGUAGCGGCUAUUUUGGCAUUCGCAUUUUGCAAGUAGAGCAGACACAACAAAUAAUGAAACAGUCUCGCGGAAACUAUCCUUGGGGUCAAAUAAAGUCUCGGGGAUGUGUGUCGUUUGCGAGCGGCAGUCUCCUACCCUCUCUUAUUAAGUGAGAGAGAUUUUAACUCGGCACUGGCGUGUGAAUAAUAUCCUGAAUGACGGUAAAUGUCACAAGGCGACGAUUAAAUGCAUUUUUUUGUCGAAUAUUUGCACGGAUAGUGUUGGAUUUGAAUAUGGCCAUUUACUAUUAAUUAGACAAAGCAACAUGGUGGUUAAUAAAACAGACGGUUUGAAAUCUGAUCGAUACCACAGCAAAAUGGCAAAUACACCUUGAAGUAGACUUAGUAGAGAUAAGUAAACGUGUUUUAACUAUAUUUUAAUAUUUAUGCUGAUAUAUAUGGUAUACAAUCAACGACGGCUGUGGCCCGAGUCCAAUCACUUCCGGCUGCCGGAAAUGAAAUGUAUAAAGCUGCUUUCCACGGAAAGAAUGAAUGAAUAAAAGCACAGCAUCUUGUCAGUUUUGUGCGUGAAUUGAAGUGUAUUUGUCGAUUUAUUUAUGUAAAAUUUAGAAAUAUUUAAUUAAACUUUUCCAUACGAACACGUGAGAAAACUGCUUAUAAUUACUGCUUUCCAGUUUAGAGGCCAUGCUAACAAAUUUGUUAGUUUAUAAGUGCAUAUAAUAUACAUAUAAUAUACAUAUAAGAGAAUAAUUAAAGUAGAUACCAGAAUAUGGGUAUUAUUUAUAGCCAAGAGCAAAGCUGUACUAACAUUGCCUAGCCAUUGAUUUUGACGUGUUCUUCCUUGAACGCGGGUUAAAAUAAGUAAGGAAUGUUCUUCCUAUAGGCGACCGCGUGGUAACAUUGGCAAUAAAAAACUUAAUUAAGUUCACUUGACAGAACUCUUGAAAAUAUAUAUUAAACUCUGUUACAGAUUGUUUAUAUUUUGCUAAAUUUUCAAAAUAUUUUGACUGAAAAAAGUGAGCUGUUCGCCAUCUUGGAUCAUUGAGGACAUGCAUGUUACGUCAAGAGAGGGGUCACGCUAAUAUUUUUAUGUUGAGAGUAAGCGAUCAAUAUGAGUCCAAAACUUCGUCUCUGGUUGCUGUCUGCAGUUUAGAAAUGAUUAAAAACAUUGGAAAAAAUUUUCGGUCACUUUAGAGUAGUUUUAUAUGGUUAACCAAACUCCUGAGGUCAUCAAAACCAUAGUUAAAGGGAUAUGGCAAUAAAAAUUAACUUUGUCUUAUUUGAAAGAACUUUUAAAAUUAUAUCUGAAGAGCUUUUACAACUUUUUAGUGCCUCACUCGGUUUACGAAGUAUUUUGUCCGAAAACAGUGUGCAGUCCGCCAUUUUGGUAUUAUAAUCGAUCUACUGUAAUUAACUGACUUUUUUAUGACGUCACAAGCAGGGUAACCAUGUUAAAACUUCUUCAUUAAGAGUAGAAAAAGUGAAAAGCAAGUCUAUAGUCGCUAGCCCUAGGUCCCAGCAACUAAAUAUAAAAAAAUAAUUCAUACCACAUAUGUGAUUUCCAAAGUGUAGUGCGACUGUCGCAAACCGAAAUAAACAUAUUACAUCAUUACACAUUUUUGUCAUUUCACGUAUUUCCAAAUGACUGAACAGUGGCGUAACUACUAUAGGCUCAGACCGGGAGAACCCGGGGGCCCCAACCCCAAUGGGGGCCCCCUGGCUUAGGCGAUAGAGCAAAAACAUUGGCCAGGGCCUCGGAUAUGUUACAAUGUCGUUUACUGACCAUCAGAAUUCUGUAAAAUCUCUCCCCAAAGUCCAGGAAAUGGCAUUUCAGAGAAUCUAGAUUCAAAAUUUUUCCGGAUGAGCAUGCCCUGAACCCCCUAGAAAACUUGUGCAUAUACGGCGCUCGACUCGUGCCUUUGGCACUUCUACUAGGGGGCCUUCGAAAAUUUUGAACCGGGGGCCCCCUGCUUUAACGUUACGCCACUGUGACUGAACCCUUGAACUGAUUACCAUUUGUUUGAAGUUGGAAGUUUAAAAUGACACAAAUGAGAAACCCAAUAUAAAAUAUAAAAAACAUAUCGUAAUGGUCAAUGACUAUCGCGAUAUUGUUUGGCAUGUGUACAUCGUUCCUCCAACAUACGAUUUUCCCAGCUUUGCCAUUAUCGCAGUGGACAGCUUUAUGCAAUGACGAAAUAAAAUUUGAUCUUUAUAAAUAAAAUAUGAACUGAACAGAUGUAUCUUAUUUUUGUCACGUUAAUAUGUUUUUACUGUAUAUUAUCUAAAAUUGCAACUACGGUCAUUGUUUAUAAUACAUUUAUCGCGAUAUUAUCGAAUAAUUUCCUAAACAAUAAUCAUGAUGUGAUUUGUUUAAUAUCGCCCAACCCUACUGGAAUUUAGAAACAUUACGUCGUAAACUGUAACAUCUUUAAUUACGUCCAUUAAAUUUACAAGUCAGAUCUGUUUUCUCUAAACAUGUGCCUUAUCGAUGUUUUUAUUUGUAUCAGUUUUUCAGGUCCUUUCUUCCCGUGUCAUUUAUGCUCAGAAAGUCAGCCAACAUGUCUAUGCAGCCGUAUUCUGAUGAAGAGCUGAACUACUUCAAGUUUGCGUCAAUUGUCCUAAAGGAAUUCCCAGAUGCUUUGCGUAGCAUCUUUGUAGACUUGUGGGACACCAGAGUUGCACCAAGUUCCACAAUUUGGGAUGACUCGCCUCUGGUACGCAAUAUACUCUACAACAAUGAGGCUCCAAGCACAAAAAUCCCCACGAAUAACUCAUUUAAAGAGUGGGACUGCACUGCACUAUUUCAAGCCACUCUGUAUGCAAGAACAUUUGCGCUACCAGACAGCACAGGGAAGAAAAAGACGCUUGGAGAAAUAUAUUUAAAAGGACGAAAGCCAGUCCCUGCUCCAUUCCACUCUGCCGUGAGGAGCUCCAGCGGAGAUGCAAAUGAGACGAUUGCACUUGCCAUUGAUCAGCUUCGUCUUUUACGAAACAUUCUUUGUCAUACGUCCAGCCCUCGAAUUAAUAAAGUCACGUUUGAUGACUAUGUCAAGCACGCCAAAGACGCGUUCGCUGCUUUGAAUUUUAGCACGACAUCUCUGGAGAGGAUUGGCAACAUGAAAGAAUUGGAUUUCCCUACAAAGGAAGUAGAAAAACUUAAUGAAGAAAUCAAUCAUCUGAGAAAUGACUUCCAUCUGUUUCUUGAAAAUGAGGUUAAACAUGAAAUGAGUGAAGUGAAAUAUGAAAUGAGUGAAGUGAAACAAAAACUGAAUAGCAUUGAAGGAAUAUUAACACAGACAGAAGAUACCACAGGUAUGUUGUUUAUGUAAUAUUAUAGCUUAAUUAUAGAUUUCCCUAUCAAAAGCUGCAUUUAUACCAUAUGAUCAGUCAAUUUAUCAUUAAAUUUCCCCAGCCGUUGUUUUUAAGGUUCGUAAGUUGAUAUGCCCCGCGCUACUUAGGG